AGCGCCACGAGAUCACCGAAAGCUUCCGGUUCUUCAAUCGAUGUCAGCACGAAGCCGGAUCGCCAACGAGUCUCCCGGCCGCGGACGACAUCGCCAACGAGUUUCAAGACGUCUUCAGUGCGGAACUCGGCUGCAUCAGCGGUCCCCCUGUACACCUUCAACUCAAGGAGGGAGCUACACCAAAGUUCUAUCAUCAGCCGCUCCUGGGCCUGCUGAAAGCGGACAAGCCUACGCCGGCGUUGGCCGCAGCCCGAAUACAGCGCUGGGCUCUCUACCUCGGUGGAUUUCGCUACAAACUUCAGUAUUCGCCCGGGUCAACCCAGGAGACGGAAGAGUGGACACUGCCGCCCGACACAGCC